GUGGGGAAUAUUGGACAAUGGGCGAAAGCCUGAUCCAGCCAUGCCGCGUGUGUGAAGAAGGUCUUCGGAUUGUAAAGCACUUUAAGUUGGGAGGAAGGGCAGUAAGCUAAUACCUUGCUGUUUUGACGUUACCGACAGAAUAAGCACCGGCUAACUUCGUGCCAGCAGCCGCGGUAAUACGAAGGGUGCAAGCGUUAAUCGGAAUUACUGGGCGUAAAGCGCGCGUAGGUGGUUUUGUAAGUUGAAGGUGAAAUCCCCGGGCUCAACCUGGGAACUGCCUCCAAAACUGCAUGACUAGAGUACGGUAGAGGGUAGUGGAAUUUCCUGUGUAGCGGUGAAAUGCGUAGAUAUAGGAAGGAACACCAGUGGCGAAGGCGACUACCUGGACUGAUACUGACACUGAGGUGCGAAAGCGUGGGGAGCAAACAGGAUUAGAAACCCGUGUAGUCC
rnacentral:rRNA from 1 species